ACUGUCUAAUAAAAACAAAGCAUUACGGUGUCCAUUGAUUGGUUUUGACGCAAUAUGAUUUAUGCCCAUUGCUCUGAAUGUCAAAUUGAUGAAAUUCAACCGAGCACGAGUAAACAACGGGAGUAACUAGCACUAGAGAUAUGUGCACUAGUGUACUUU
rnacentral:ncRNA from 1 species